UUGAACUCAGCCACCAAAAUUCAUCAUCUUUUUCACUUGGAGAAAAGGGGAUGCAAAAAGUUCAAAUCUUAAUAUCUUUCUCGUUUUUGAUCCGUUUCGGAUGAUUCUUGCGACCAUGGAACGAGGAAAACGAUAGCUACUGAUCUAUCCCUAUUAUUCAAGGUGCCUAGACUCAUGAUUGGCUAGAAGUACGUCUUUUGAUCGGGAGUCAAAUUUUACUUGUAUAGUUCCGACUUCCGUAGUUGUUGUAGUAGCGUAUGUCUGAUCAGAGUCGUAGCCUAGCACAGCGACAUAUUUUUAUUUCUUUAUAGGUGUUGUCUCUAUUGUAUAUGUAUAUUGGCUAUGACAUUUGUAUUUUGUCCACAGAAGUAGAUUCCAGUUGAAUGACCCUGAACUAGUAGUAUAUAUGUCGGGUUAGUACGUAUGAGAUACGGAAAUAGUAAACUCGAAGUAACUUGUAUUUUUUUGGUUAAUUACAUAUAAAAUCACCACCUUUACACGAAAUUGCAAAAAUAACACGACCUUUAAAACGUGGCGAUUCAGGACACCACCUUUCAUUUCUUUUCAAAAACAACAUGGGCACAUUUUUAAUGGAAUUUUUGCUGACGUGGCAUGACACGUGGCACUCCUAUUGAGUGCCCAAGUCAGCAAAAUUUUAUCUACAAACGUGCCCAUGUUAUUUUUAAAAAUAAAUGAAAGGUGAUGUCCUGAAUUGACACGUUUUAAAGGUCGUGUUAUUUUUGAGAAUUCGUGUAAAGGUGGUGAUUUUAUAUGUAAUUAAUCCAAUUUUUUUUACUAGUGUAUAUAUGUACGUAUGUUUGCUUAAA